rnacentral:rRNA from 1 species
CCUACGGGGGGCAGCAGUGAGGAAUAUUGGUCAAUGGACGAGAGUCUGAACCAGCCAAGUAGCGUGAAGGAUGACUGCCCUAUGGGUUGUAAACUUCUUUUAUAUGGGAAUAAAACGUUCCACGUGUGGGAUUUUGUAUGUACCAUAUGAAUAAGGAUCGGCUAACUCCGUGCCAGCAGCCGCGGUAAUACGGAGGAUCCGAGCGUUAUCCGGAUUUAUUGGGUUUAAAGGGAGCGUAGGUGGAUUGUUAAGUCAGUUGUGAAAGUUUGCGGCUCAACCGUAAAAUUGCAGUUGAAACUGGCAGUCUUGAGUACAGUAGAGGUGGGCGGAAUGCGUGGUGUAGCGGUGAAAUGCUGAGAUAUCACGAAGAACUCCGAUUGCGAAGGCAGUUCACUGGACUGCAACUGACACUGAGGCUCGAAAGUGUGGGUAUCAAACAGGAUUAGAUACCCGGGUAGUC